rnacentral:rRNA from 2 species
CCGAACCGACUAAUGUUGAAAAAUUAGCGGAUGACCUGUGGCUGGGGGUGAAAGGCCAAUCAAACCGGGAGAUAGCUGGUUCUCCCCGAAAGCUAUUUAGGUAGCGCCUCGUGAAUUCAUCUCCGGGGGUAGAGCACUGUUUCGGCUAGGGGGCCAUCCCGGCUUACCAACCCGAUGCAAACUGCGAAUACCGGAGAAUGUUAUCACGGGAGACACACGGCGGGUGCUAACGUCCGUCGUGAAGAGGGAAACAACCCAGACCGCCAGCUAAGGUCCCAAAGUCAUGGUUAAGUGGGAAACGAUGUGGGAAGGCCCAGACAGCCAGGAUGUUGGCUUAGAAGCAGCCAUCAUUUAAAGAAAGCGUAAUAGCUCACUGGUCGAGUCGGCCUGCGCGGAAGAUGUAACGGGGCUAAACCAUGCACCGAAGCUGCGGCAGCGACACUGUGUGUUGUUGGGUAGGGGAGCGU